GGGCGUGUAGCUCAGUCGGGAGAGCACCAGCUUCGCAAGUUGGGGGUCGUGGGUUCGAGUCCCAUCACGUCCACCA
rnacentral:tRNA from 1 species